ensembl:lncRNA
AUGUGGACUUAAAAAGACCGAAACUACAUCGAUGAGUGGGCGUGCCUCCAUCGGUUUUCCUCUGUUUACACCUGCACCAUAAAGGAUUCACAGGUCCUGUUUUUUGCCGGUGUAUUUUGGAUGUACUGAAUUAACCUACAAUGACUCCAUUAACAUUAUUAUGUCUCUGUGUGGCUCUGCUGUUUGCUGAUUUGGCGUCUUCAGAUUAAGAGGAAUCCUGAGCUACGAGGCAGGGGUGCAGUCUGGUAAACCAAAAGCCCCUCUUCACCCUUUUUACCCUGGCCACAAUGGAUGUUACACAAG